rnacentral:rRNA from 1 species
UACGAAGGGGGCUAGCGUUGUUCGGAAUGACUGGGCGUAAAGGGCGCGUAGGCGGUGUGUCAAGUCAGGCGUGAAAGCCCCGGGCUCAACCUGGGAAUGGCGGUGGAUACUGGAUAGCUAGAGUGUGUCAGAGGAUGGUGGAAUUCCCGGUGUAGCGGUGAAAUGCGUAGAGAUCGGGAGGAACAUCAGUGGCGAAGGCGGCCAUCUGGGACAACACUGACGCUGAAGCACGAAAGCGUGGGGAGCAAACAGG